rnacentral:rRNA from 1 species
UAAGGAAUAUUGGACAAUGGAGGCAACUCUGAUCCAGCCAUGCCGCGUGAAGGAAUAAGGCCCUAUGGGUUGUAAACUUCUUUUAGACGGGACAAAACCCCUUUACGUGUAAAGGGUUGAUGGUACUGUCAGAAUAAGCAUCGGCUAACUUCGUGCCAGCAGCCGCGGUAAUACGAAGGAUGCAAGCGUUAUCCGGAAUUAUUGGGUUUAAAGGGUGCGCAGGCGGACUAAUAAGUCAGUGGUGAAAGCCUGCAGCUUAACUGCAGAAUUGCCAUUGAUACUGUUAGUCUUGAGUACAGUUGAGGUAGGCGGAAUGUGUCAUGUAGCGGUGAAAUGCUUAGAUAUGACACAGAACACCGAUUGCGAAGGCAGCUUGCUAAGCUGUAACUGACGCUGAGGCACGAAAGCGUGGGGAGCAAACA